CACUUCAUAGUUGUUCUUUAAUUUUAUCAUGUUAUUUACUUCACUUGAACCAUGUGGUGUACUUGAAUUUGAAUAAUUUGGUUUGUAAACUAUGAAGUUGUAAUAUUCAUCAAUUGUGUGAAACUUAUUUAUUAUGUUUGGUUUUCAUAUGGGUGCUAAUAUGUAGUUGCAAUGUAUUAAGUAAACUAGAAUUGUAAUACUUUGACAAAAAGAAAAUUUUACUCCGCUAAAUUUAGGGGGUCGUCUAGAACCGAUCAAAACUUAGUGGCGUAAAAAUACUCCACUACGGUUUACUCGGCCAUUUACUCUUGUAUUUUUUAGGGUUUCGGCAUUACAAAUAGUAUUCUGUGUGACCUAUGCCUGAAACUACUAUAAGGAUAAAACACAUAAAUGAACUAUGUAAUAUAUUGCGUACUCAACAUAUUGUUUGCUAAAGAUGUCUUCAGGACUUCUCGGGUUUCCUUUUCUCUUGACUUCUCCAAACAGAGUAUAUUAAUCCAGAAAGAUGUCUAGAGCAGAGAAUAUCACAUAGAGGGAUUAGCAGACCCCUGAUAUAAGUUGAAUGUACAAAAAUAUGGUGCUUAAAAAAUAAACCAUAAGACAUAGGAUUUAUGUGCAAAUACAAAAAACAACAACUGAGGGCUAUAGUACGGUGAUAUUUUCUUUUCAUAAAUAUGCAAGGGCAUAUGUACUGGCAGUGAUCUCUGUACCUAAAAUAAUCUAAACUGAAGUUCACAACCCCUCCAAACCAAGAUGUUCCUUUCAACAUACCAUAGAAAGGACCACACCAUACAAUCAGAUUGAGAAACUUGGUUACGAUAAGCCCUUAACUUCUUUACUUAACAUGAACAUGGUGUAGUCUUAAUGUAAAUUAAUUCUUGGUUACAUCUUAUCUUGGAUUAAAAUCAUUUCCAUGAUAGUAAACUUCAGAUGAAAUGAAUGCCUAGUCAAAUCUUUUAACACGGGACCUUCCAUAGAUUAUACGUGUCCUCCAUGAGGGAAAAUAAUGACCUAGAGAUGCAUCUAUUGUCAUUAAUCAUGGUAUAUUGUGUCCAAUUAUACAAAAAAUUGUUGAUUACAACAGUAUCAUACACCUAAUUUGACAAUAUUUUAAUCUUUCAAAAUUAUAAUACAGAGACCAACUUGCACUAAAGGUAGUGACCAAGAAAAAAUGAUGGUGUGAAAUAUGCAAGGAAGACUAAUUGCGUAGAGGGCGAGCACCAGAGUACUCAAAAAAUAUCUGUAGGCAGUGUACCCCAAGAAAAUCAGUAGCCAAUUGAUGCAAAGAUCAGGGGGAAAAGAGAGAAAAUCACCGACUAGCUUGCAUGUUGUCCAUGUUCACCCCAUCUCGUACUCCGCUUGUAAUCCUCCUACUCCACACCCCAC
rnacentral:lncRNA from 1 species